rnacentral:lncRNA from 1 species
AUGAAAGGUUGCAAGCUUUCCUCCAAAAAACCGCCAGAAUUCAAGUUAGAACUGGGCACCAACGGUCGCAUAAAACAACAAUGCGACAGCAAAGCCAAAGCCAGUCAGGCAAUUUUGUACCUCAUUUCCCAAGUCCUUGAUUUUAUGCUCCACCACACUCACUUGCAUCAUUGUUUCACGAUCCAGUGGUAUCGAUUCAAUCCAUCCUUCAAGCCGUAGUUACGAUUCUAACGCCUCAAACUUCACAUCGUCUUCUAUUGCUUCUCAAUCUGCAUCCCUUCUGCAUACAAGGUAAGAAU